CGAAAGUAAGACUAAUACCCAAUGAUAUCUCUAGAAGACAUCUGAAAGGGAUUAAAGAUUUAUCGGUGAUGGAUGGGGAUGCGUCUGAUUAGCUUGUUGGCGGGGUAACGGCCCACCAAGGCAACGAUCAGUAGGGGUUCUGAGAGGAAGGUCCCCCACAUUGGAACUGAGACACGGUCCAAACUCCUACGGGAGGCAGCAGUGAGGAAUAUUGGUCAAUGGACGAGAGUCUGAACCAGCCAAGUAGCGUGCAGGAUGACGGCCCUAUGGGUCGUAAACUGCUUUUAUAAGGGAAUAAAGUGAGUCUCGUGAGAUUUUUUGCAUGUACCUUAUGAAUAAGGACCGGCUAAUUCCGUGCCAGCAGCCGCGGUAAUACGGAAGGUCCGGGCGUUAUCCGGAUUUAUUGGGUUUAAAGGGAGCGUAGGCCGGAGAUUAAGCGUGUUGUGAAAUGUAGAUGCUCAACAUCUGCACUGCAGCGCGAACUGGUUUCCUUGAGUACGCACAAAGUGGGCGGAAUUCGUGGUGUAGCGGUGAAAUGCUUAGAUAUCACGAAGAACUCCGAUUGCGAAGGCAGCACACUAAUCCGUAACUGACGUUCAUGCUCGAAAGUGUGGGUAUCAAACA
rnacentral:rRNA from 1 species